AAAAUUCAAAUUUCCCUCUGUUAUGCAAUUAGCGCCUCUUAUAGGCUGCCAUUUCGCUCUGAACAAAGACUAAAAUCAUCAAAUCUGCAACACAUCUAACGCUACCACCCUUGUGAUCUAUGGGUGAUGCGAAUUUGGAAAGCUUCCAGAUUUACUGUAUGGUCUUCCACUCCACACGCUGUUCCAGAUUUUAUGGGUGCUUUGUUCGUAAGUCAAGGGAACGGGUGGCCGUUGAAGCCAUCAUCGUACGGAGCUCAAUUAUAAGGUUUGCUAAGAAGAGUUUAGAUGCUGAAUUGAGAGCAUUGGUUUUCAGUCCUCGACUCAUGGAGCUUUUUGAGGUGUGCUGGAAAUGGAAAACAUAGACACAGAGCAGGAAACAGAGUCUUCAUCGAGAGGGGUUUUCAAGUUACUCGAAGAACCUGCGAUAGUUAUUAAUGGGUAGCACAAUUCGAAUAGUAGACUCGAGUAUUCAGAGAGAUUAUUUCUCGGCUUCUAUCCCUAGUAAUUUAAGCUGGUUGCAUCCAUUUUUUUACACACCAUAUUUCCCAUUACUAAUUACUAUGGUUUUCUUGAGCUGUGAAAAGCAAGUGAAUACAUCCUUUUAUUGGAACAAUUCAACUUAUUGCUUUAACACCGAAGUAUAUUAUUCAACCUCUUCAUCGUCUUGCCAUGAUAUGCAUAGAUAUGUUAAAUAUCUAGAUAGAUCUCCAUAUCCAGGGCAGGUGGAGGAAUCUUGUCGAAUAGAGCAAAUAUCCCUAAUAUCGAGGGAAGGCCGUCAAUAUAUCCAAAAACUACUUCUUGCAAAGAGAUUCGCAACGAAUUGUUAUGUGGUUUUAAGUUUAAUUGGCUACAUGUUUCUUGUCAAUGCGACGGACCCAACAAUUGCUACCUCGAUGACGGCUACCUUGAUGAUGUGAAUAAAAUUCAAUGCGAUAAUUGAUUCUUCAAAGGACUGGCGGACUUAUACAAAGGACUGGCAGACGUAUACAAUGCAUUCAAAAUUCCAAAUCCAUGAUGGGCACACUUUGAGAAAUUCUUAUGUCAUGCCUUCUCACCUUCUAGCUGGUGGAGUUAUUGGAUCAAUCUUGGUGGUCCUUUGCUUGUUUUGGGUGGUCUGGUAGAAGAACUACCCGUGAAAGAAAUGGUCAGAAAGCUAACGACAAACACAAAGUAAAGUAAAAUAAUUAUCCAUGAAGAAGAGCUUUCAUGUAAUGUGAUUUGUGUUUUUUUUUUAAUAAUGAUCCAUUAUAUCAUAUUUAUUAUUAAUUUAUUUAUUAUAUAUUUUUAUUAUGGUAUAUCAUAUUAUUGGUGUGUUCUAAAGGUUGUUAAUUAAUGCAAUGUGCUGGCAACAUUUUUGUAGCAGCAUUUAUAAUAACACCGUUAAUUUAAAAAAUGCACCAGCAAUGAACUAGUGGGGGCGUUUACAUUACAUUGUUAAUUUAUGCAAUGUGGUGGUAACAAACUCAUGGUAGCAUCUAGAUAAACAUCGUUAAUAAAUUCAAUGUGUCGUCAACGUACUAUUAGUGGCAUUUAAAGAAACACCGUUAAUUUAUAAGAUGCGCUGGCAAUGUAAUGCGGUGGCAUUUAUGUUAACGCAUUAUUUUAAAAAUUAGUGUUGUUUAGAUAAACGCCGUUAAUAAAUUUGCCAAAGUACUAUUAGUGGCAUUUAAAGAAAUGCUGCCACAUUAUAUGACGAGUGGACAGUUUACUUGUAGUGGCGUUUAGAUACUAGCUAGAAAUUAGGUUAUUGGCAGAGUUUAGUUAAACGCCAUUAAAUUUUUCAAUGUGGCACCGCCAAGAUACUAUUAGUGGCAUUUAAAUAAAUGCCGCCAAUUUAUAUGAUGAGUCAGCAAAUUACUAGUAGCGGCAUUUAUCGUAACGUCGCUAUUUGAAAAAGUGGUGGUGGUAGAAUAAAUGUCAUUUGAGUUGAAUUUAUACGCACAUAGACAGAAGAAGAACAAUGUGGAACGAUAGGCAAUUGUUGGGAAUCAUUUUUGUUAGAUGGAUAAGAAAACAUUGCUUUCAUUGCCAUUAUUUCUAAUGUUUCAUUUUUCUUUUGGGAUUGUGUUACUUUGUUCUGUCAACAUCUUUUGAGUUUUGGAGUAUUCAUUU